GACAUUAUAUAUAUGACUGAAUUGUGCAAUUGAAAUGUUUCCUCUUGGCAUGAAUAUAGCCCCUGCUGCUGACAUGGCAUUAAAUAAUAAAUAAAUAAAUCACAACAUGUUAUAUGUAAGAUAAUAUGUGUAUUAUAAUGAACUUAUAAUCUGCUAUAAUAUGGCGGUCGUUCUGGACCAGGAACACAACUAGCUAUCAUGAAAUGAACACAACAGGAGGGUAAAUGCUACAGGCUACAAUGGCAGUUAGUGUAACGUGUUAUGUAGUGUUUCAGGCAACGACAUGGCUUCAGCUAAGUUUCACAAAGGCAUGAGUAAUGCUGAAUGGCUUGCGCGUCUGGAGAGUUUUGCCCAAACAGGAGUUUGGCCAUCUACACAGGGGAAUAGACCUUCUCCCCGACAAAAAAGAUGGCAUGAGAUGUAUCAGAAGGUAAGUUAUGCAGCUAGAUUCAUGGGCAAACUAACAAACUUUUUUGACAAUACAUUGUGGUAUUUUUAUUUAUGUGUAUGGUUAAGUAAUUACAUGUAAAUACAAUGUUAUAUUGAUAUAAUUAUGAUGACUUAUUGCUGUUUUGAGAUCCAGUGUCAGAGGUAUAAUUCAUGUUCACAGAUAGAAAAGUGCCCUCUGCAAAUGAGGGGACAGACCACUCUUCUGAAGGAAGCUCAGACAUGUAUUUGUGGCUUUCACAAGGUAACUUAAAUUAGCCUGGUUCAAGUUGCAUAAAUAGAUAGAUGUGUUUGCAACAUCAAUGUGUCUUUAUAUCUAAAAUCACAUUAGGAAGACUGUUUUGUACUUUAUGCAUGUGUCACAGGUUCAUCCACCAGUCACAGGGGAAGCAUCACAGAGCACCCCGGCCCAAAGCACACCCUCUGUCAGCGAUGUGUCAUGUCCUGCAAAGAGACCUAAACUGACAUUGUCAAUGUUUGAAAAGUCAAGGUUUGGAGGCUCACAUGUGGCAGCAGCAAAACCUAAUUUGAGCACCCAGAGGAAAACCUCUCAGGUUAAUAUUAAAAGACAUCAAGACUUUUAUAAUGUCAUCAUGACUUUAUCACUAUGUAAUUUUAAUGUAUUAAAAACAUGGCAAUCCCCUUAAUAAAUUAUUCAUAAUGUUUGACUCCACAGAUGUUAGAGCACUCCAGUUCAGCUACAGUUUCAUGUCCACCCUCUGAUCCUCAUCCUCCUCCAUCCCCCAAACCUCAUCAGCCCGUCAUCCAGUCCUCCUCUUCCUUCUUCCUUCCUCCACCUCAGAGUUCACAACGCAUCAAAAAAACAGCAACGCCAUCAACUGUUUCUGAGAAUACUGUUGUGAGGAGCCCAGUAAGAUCUCAUUCAAAAUAUAUACAUGUCUUCAUCAUUUAAUGCUCUCUUAGCUUUUAUUUAAACCAGUGUUUUUUAUAAUAUCAGCAGGUCUCAUCUCAGCCAGAAGAUCUCC
rnacentral:lncRNA from 1 species